CAGAGAAUAGUUUAAAUAAAAUAAUAAUUUUGGAGAUUAUAGAUAAAUUUAUAGUUUUUCUUUGA
rnacentral:tRNA from 1 species